rnacentral:lncRNA from 1 species
CUCUACUUUAGGAAGCUAGUGCCUUUCUCUGGCCUCCCAAAGCUACUCCCAGAUGUCCUUCCCCAUAAGAGUUGUGCUGUCCCAAGCUUCAACUCAGCUGGAGACACAGGGUAAGGGCCAUGAACCAAGACAAGCCCUUCUGUACCAAGCUUCUUUCUCUUCUGGGAAAAAAAAAUCCCAAUUUUUUAAAAAUAAUAGGCCUUAAGAAAAUGCAAUCUAAAUUUUAUUUUCUUGUGGCUGAUUUUUAAGGCUUGUGAAAUCUAGUGACGUUGCAUAGGGCCUAACACAAUGGCCCCAUUCCUAGUCUCUUGGUGAAUAUUUAGCUUUAGGAAAAUUAUGCUUUAAGUAUAAAAUGCACCCACUUUCUUUAUAGGAGAAGGAAAUGGCAACCCACUACAAUGUUUUUGCCUGGAAAAUUCCAUGGACAGAGGUGACCGGCAGGCUACAGUCCAUGGGAUCGCAGAGAGUCAGACAUGACUGAACAACUAUCACUCACUCCCUCACUUUCUUUAUAAGGCUUCCUUAUACUCCUUGGCUUCAGUGAGAUAACAGAUAUUAAACUGUGGCAUGUAAAGUUUUCCACAUAUGUGAAGUUUAGUUCUUUUGUUGCCUCCUACCCCAGAGCCUGUGCCCUCUCCCCAGAUUCUGGUGGGAUCAACAUCCAUCACACCAGACUGGUGCAACGUCACCCUGGAGUGCAGAACCUCUGGCGCCACAAAAGACCUGAAUGUGACCUGGGAGAACAAGGGCAUCCCUGGAGAAUGGGAGCAGAGAAGGACAUUAGAACCAGCUUGCAGCCCAUACAUUCUGGCUGUGAGCGUGCCGAGAGGCCAGCCCAAUGCCAGCCUCGUCUGUGUGGUCAGCAACCCGGUGGAAUAUAAAACUGCCUUCUUCGACCUUGGGGGAGUCUGCAUCCAUGAUUCAGCCAACCAGGCGAAUGCUGACCUCCUGCCAGACAUCCUUAGGGCAGUCGCAGCUGUGUUAUUGAUCCUCGGAGGUGGACUGUACCUUUGGAAGAUACAUGAGAAGAUGAAGACUGGAAGAGGUGCAAGGUCACAAGAGGAUGAUAAUGACAGCAUUCAGUAUGCAGCCAGCAGGAAUCUCUAGAGCACAUGAACAAGGUUAUCAGGUCACUGAAAGAAAAGUGACCUUUCAGUACUAUCUACAGUGAGGUCUGUAAGUCAUGUCAUGCCAUGAAGACAAUUUAAUUGGAGGAAACAGAAGAAUUGACACUCCCAGGACACCUCUGCCAGGAGUUUGACCCCUGAAGGCACCCGCCUGCUCCACCUCUGGUCCAGUUCCAUCUGCCCUUUAUCCUUUACCUGGGCCUAUGUGGCCUUAUUACUUCCUCUGACACCUCUCCAAACUGCCCUCGUGUUCAGGAUCCUCACAGUCACAGGAUGAGCACUCCUCCUCUGCCAUUGACUCAACUCCUGACCCCUCACCUUCUGAAGCUUUCCAAAGAAGACUUUUCUGACUGUGUUAAUCCCCACAGCCUCUGCUGUGUGGUUAGUGUGUGUGUUUCCUUAAGAGCAUGAGCUGAGGCAUGGGGACUGCGUGAUGGCCCAUGCCACAGAGGAUGGAGUUAUGACCUUGGUGUUGAGUGCUGAGUUGGGGGUCAAUGGAAGGAGCAUGGGUAGGUAUGAAUCUGGAAAGGACUGGCCUGAGGAUUCCGUUGCACCUUACAUAGAGCAAAGCAUGUGUGUCAAGCAGUACACUUGUACUGGGAAGAAUGUCUAGUGUAUCUUAUAACCUUCUUCUUGGUUACUUGUUUUAACCUGGACUUUGGCUUCAAGUUGGCCCAUGGGCCCCAAACCCACCUUCUUGUCAAGUGGGAAGAGGAAUUUGUAACUCUUCACCCCCUUCCAGGACUUAAUUUUCUCAGAAAAUAAUCCUAGAACCUAGAAGUCAAGAAUUGCAUUCUUAGGAAAAUAGCUUCGGCCUGUCCCUUUCUGGGAUAGGGGUACUUGGUCAUGAUGAUGAAUGUGCAGUAUCCUCUGACCAUCCUCGAUGAGGCUUCCGGGGGAUAGGAAGAGUGAAGUUUGUAGGAAGAUAUGAACCAGCCCUUUCUGGUCUUUUCUAUUGAAGAGUCUUUCUGGCCUCAAUCUAAAUGUCAGCCUCCUCUUUGCUCACUCACAUCCCUUUGUCCAGAAAGAUGGCUCCCUUUCCCUGCUCCCUGCUCCCAACCCUGCCUACUGGAAUCCUAUCAUCCUGCCCAAAGCCCUCUUCCAAACCAUAUGUUCCAUGAAGCCUAUCUGGUUCCCAAAGGUUAAGAAAUGGUCUCUCCAAUAUCUGACCUUUUCAAACACCUUGGAGGCCCUUACAGUCUGCCCUGGAUUGGUCAUGAGUCUUUCCUGCUGGACUCACCUUGGGCUCCCUCAGGAGGGUGUUGGAGCCACAAGAAGCCAGUGCCAAGGAGACAAGCACCUCUGUCUGUGAAAGAUCUGGGCAACCCUUCUUUCCAACUCCUGGGGAACUCAGCAGACUGAGACCAAGAGCAGAGGCUGUUGAAGGUUUUUCUGGCAAGAGUCCACAAGGAAGCAAAGAUGGAUGUGAUGACCUCCAGCAACCCCACCUGUCCCAGAGGUCAGAGGUGGGGAUAUUCUCACACCAGCUCCAGCCUCACAUGGCCCGAAGACCUGUUUCAGCUGCACUGUGGUGUUGUGAGAGCUUCUACUUUCUCUGGGGGUCCUCACCUCCUGGAAGCCCCUGAUUCCUGCCUUGGAUCCCAGCUCUUGUGUAAGAAGUGGGUUCAGUCUAGUAGUGAGCUGCUGUGGUUUCUCAACUGACCCAGAUUCUUGAGUCACUUGGUUCUCCUCCUUGCUCAGCUCAGUUCAGCUGCUUCAUAUCUGCCUUCAGACUGUCUAAACAUGGUUCCUGCUGAGGGCUUGAGCAUCAUGAAGCAAUGCCAUGAGCCUAUUUGAUGUGUUUAUAUAUAUAAGCAGGUGAGAGGGGGAGGUAGGGGAUCUGCAAUAAGUCACCUUUUCUGAUCUCCUGUCCCUCAGGUAGAGCAGAAACCUGAGGGAGAUAUAGGCACCAUCUCCUCACAGAGUUCCCAUGUAACUGGUCUUGCUGGGCAUCAGUGUCCAUAAGCCCAAGAGCAUUGUAAGAUGAGACCACCCAGUAGUCAUUUCCACUCCACCAAAAGUAGAAAAAAGUAAAAUGAAGGGACCUGGGUUUUUCCAAACCUAUAGUGAACCAGGGUUUGUCCCAUGCAUUUUAGAAAUAUUAUUCUUAUAAUCUUUGUAAGGACACUCUAAGGUCGGUAUAAUUAUUCUCAUUUGAAUAACAGGAAACUGAUAUCUCAGACUAGUUCUGUGGUAGAGCAAAACCUUAAUCUAACAAAGUUCACAGCUUACCCCUUUACCAUUAGUCACUGGAGACCUUGUUAUUCUAGAGUAUUCAGAUGGGACUAUCCAAUUUUUCCUCUCCCAAGGAUCUUGGACUCUGACUGAGGUGUCUCAAUAUCCUAAUUGAUAUGGAGCAGCUGGUGGGUUAAAAAGGAUUCUCCUGAAGUGGACAAUGAGGUCUUGGUGGGUGGGAAACCAUAGAAUGAAAGAUCUUGACUUCUGAUGCAAAUGAGACAUUUUAAGAGAUGUUUCUGCCUCUUGUGUCUCUUUCCAUGCAAGGUGUGUGUGGAUGUCAUCACCUCAUCUUCAAACCAGCUUCCCCUUUGCAAUGUUAAUCAUAAAAUCAUUCAACAUUCAAUAGGCUUUCCAUAAGUCUGCUGCUGCUGCUGCUGCUAAGCUAAGUUGGACUGCUAAGUCCAACUCUGUGCGACCCCAUAGAUGGCAGCCCACCAGGCUCCCACAUCCCUGGGUUCUCCAGGCAAGAACACUGGAGUGAGUUGCCAUUUCCUUCCAUAAGUCUACGUUUGCCUUUAACAAUUCUGUGAGCAAAGAUCCCCAUUAUAUAGAUGAAGACAUAUAACCCACAGAUAUUAGGUACUUCCAUAAAGUCUCAUGAGUGUAAAUGCUUUGGGUCACAGGGAAUCAUAAUUUCAUUCAUUUUGACUCCUUCUUCUCCCCCAUCCCAGACACCCAACCAAUCACCAUGUGCCAUUGAGAUAAUCCUCAUUAAGUUUCUUAUAUUCCACUCUCUUAUUCUUUUAACCCCAUUGUCUACCUAAAAGAUCUACUACUUACAUCACAUCUUCAUUUGGAUGUCUAGCAUGUCUAAAUUUGAGCUCCCUAAACGUGUUUUCCAUAUACAUCCAUUAAAUAAAUGUUACCUCUGUCCUUCCUUUUGCUCUGGC